rnacentral:rRNA from 1 species
GGGAAAUGGGGCAGGCUACCAUGCAGUCGAGGGGUAGGGACUUCGGUGCUUGAGACCGGCGCACGGGUGCGUAACGCGUAUGCAAUCUGCCUUCCACAGAGGGAUAGCCCAGAGAAAUUUGGAUUAAUACCUCAUAGCAUCAUGACCCGGCAUCGGGAUAUGAUUAAAGUCACAACGGUGGAAGAUGAGCAUGCGUCCCAUUAGCUAGUUGGUAAGGUAACGGCUUUACCCAAGGCUAUCGGAUGGGGUAAGGGGUCCCUGGAGAGGGGAGAUCCCCCACCCACUGGGUACUGGAGACACGGACCCAAGACUCCUUACGGGGAGGCAGCCAGUGAAGGAAUUAUUGGUCCAAUGGGCGCCAAGCCCUGAACCCAGCCAUGCCCGCGUGCAAGGAUGACGGUCCCUAUGGAUUGUAAACUGCUUUUGUACGGGAAGAAACCCUUCCUACGUGUAGGAGCUUGACGGUACCGUAAGAAUAAGGAUCGGCUAACUCCGUGCCAGCAGCCGCGGUAAUACGGAGGAUCCAAGCGUUAUCCGGAAUCAUUGGGUUUAAAGGGUCUGUAGGCGGUCUUGUAAGUCAGUGGUGAAAGCCCAUCGCUCAACGGUGGAACGGCCAUUGAUACUGCUGGACUUGAAUUAUUGGGAAGCAACUAGAAUAUGUAGUGUAGCGGUGAAAUGCUUAGAGAUUACAUGGAAUACCAAUUGCGAAGGCAGGUUGCUACCAAUGGAUUGACGCUGAUGGACGAAAGCGUGGGUAGCGAACAGGAUUAGAUACCCUGGUAGUCCACGCCGUAAACGAUGGAUACUAGCUGUUGGGCGCAAGUUCAGUGGCUAAGCGAAAGUGAUAAGUAUCCCACCUGGGGGAGUACGAACGCAAGUUUGAAACUCAAAGGAAUUGACGGGGGCCCGCACAAGCGGGUGGAGCAUGGUGGUUUAAUUCCGAUGAUACGCCGAGGAACCUUUACCAAGGCUUAAAUGCAAACUUGACCGGGUUUGGAAAACAGAACCUUUUCGCAAAGACCGGUCUACCAAGGUGGCUGCAUGGGUUGGUCGUCAACCUCGGUGCCCGUGAGGGUGUCCAGGGUUAAAGUCCUAUUAACCGAGCCGCAACCCCCUGGUUGGUUAAGUUUGCCCAAGCGAAGGCCAUUGUCCGGGGAAACUUCUAAGCCAAAGACUUGGCCAAGUGGCAAAACUUGGGGAGAGGGAAGGGGUGGGGGGAAUUAGACCGUCCAAAAUCCAUUCACCGGGGCCCCUUUUACGGCUCUGUGGGGGGCUUACAACCAACGGUGGGCUUAACAAAUGGCCGGUACAGAGAGCAGCCACCCCGCGAGGGGGAGCGAAUCUAUAAAGCCGGUCACAGUUCGGAUCGGAGUCUGCAACUCGACUCCGUGAAGCUGGAAUCGCUAGUAAUCGGAUAUCAGCCAUGAUCCGGUGAAUACGUUCCCGGGCCUUGUACACACCGCCCGUCAAGCCAUGGAAGCUGGGGGUGCCUGAAGUCGGUGACCGCAAGGAGCUGCUAGGUAAACCUUU